rnacentral:rRNA from 1 species
AGAGUUUGAUCCUGGCUCAGGAUAAACGCUGGCGGCGUGCCUAACACAUGCAAGUCGAACGCGCACGGAGCAAUUCGUGUGAGUGGCGGACGGGUGAGGAACACGUGGGUACCUACCCCAAGGUGAGGAAUACCGGCGAGAAAUCGCCGACAAUACCGCAUACGUUUGUGAAAGCAAACAAAGCUCGGAGUAUCUGGGCG